rnacentral:lncRNA from 1 species
UCCUCGUGGUGGAUCUGUGUCUGUCUUGCUCGCUGUUGUAUCAAUGACUGCCUCUCAUUGGCACUCGGCAAAUCAUUGAAAAGGUGAGGACUCCAUGUUUUCCGCCCUUGUAACCCCAGAACCCUGUGCAAAGCCUGCUCGGAAACAAAUUGUUGAAGGCUUACUAUGUUCCAGGCUGUGUUAGCCACCCUGUGUAUGCCAUCUCAUUUAAUCCCCACACCAGCCCUUAUAGAUAUGGAUCAUGACCCUCCACUUUACAGAUUAGGAAACAGAGGCACAGAGAGGUUAGGUCAGUUGCCCAAGUUCUCACAGGCAGUAAGCGCUGUGCCUCCCCCACUGCCAACACUCAAGAACCAAUUGACUACUCAUCUUGAAGUGAGGUGAAUGGGGGUCUCCCCGAAAGUUAAGUUUAUGUCCUAAAGCCUUGAAUCUGUGAAAGUGACCUUGUGGAGGCAGGGUCUGGAGUGAUGAGUGUAUAAACCAGGGAAGGCCAAGCAUUGCCUGCAGCCACCAGAAGCUAGGAGGGGCAUAUCCCUCAACAGGCACAAUAACAUCACAGG